rnacentral:lncRNA from 1 species
AUUUAGUUGUCGGAAUUAAGUCAAAACAAAACUAGUUAAAGUGAAAAGGUUGUUAAAUUGUUUGAAUAAGUUAAAAUAAAUGUUGUGGGUUAGUUAGUGAAUUUAGUUGUCGGAAUUAAGUCAAAACUAAACUAGUUAAAGUGAAAAAGUUGUUAAGUUGUUUAAAUAAGUUAAAAUAAAUGUUGUGGGUUAGUUAGUGAAUUUAGUUGUCGGAAUUAAGUCAAAACUAAACUAGUUAAAGUGAAAAAGUUGUUAAGUUGUUUAAAUAAGUUAAAAUAAAUGUUGUGGGUUAGUUAGUGAAUUUAGUUGUCGGAAUUAAGUCAAAACUAAACUAGUUAAAGUGAAAAAGUUGUUAAGUUGUUUAAAUAAGUUAAAAUAAAUGUUGUGGGUUAGUUAGUGAAUUUAGUUGUCGGAAUUAAGUCAAAACUAAACUAGUUAAAGUAAAAAAGUUGUUAAGUUGUUUAAAUAAGUUAA